GAUGAACGCUAGCUACAGGCUUAACACAUGCAAGUCGAGGGGCAGCAUGGUCUUAGCUUGCUAAGGCCGAUGGCGACCGGCGCACGGGUGAGUAACACGUAUCCAACCUGCCGUCUACUCUUGGACAGCCUUCUGAAAGGAAGAUUAAUACAAGAUGGCAUCAUGAGUUCACAUGUUCACAUGCUUAAAGGUAUUCCGGUAGACGAUGGGGAUGCGUUCCAUUAGAUAGUAGGCGGGGUAACGGCCCACCUAGUCUUCGAUGGAUAGGGGUUCUGAGAGGAAGGUCCCCCACAUUGGAACUGAGACACGGUCCAAACUCCUACGGGAGGCAGCAGUGAGGAAUAUUGGUCAAUGGGCGAGAGCCUGAACCAGCCAAGUAGCGUGAAGGAUGACUGCCCUAUGGGUUGUAAACUUCUUUUAUAAAGGAAUAAAGUCGGGUAUGUAUACCCGUUUGCAUGUACUUUAUGAAUAAGGAUCGGCUAACUCCGUG
rnacentral:rRNA from 1 species